AAGAAACCAUAUGUUACGCAAUGUUUGCAACUGUAAUGACACAAUUAACAGAGACCUGCGAGUCUCUACCUGUAUUCUUCUCUUUACCUGUACUCAAAGUAAAAGUUCAAUAAAUACAGAUUUACAACAAAAAAACUAAAAAAAUAAAAUAAAUGUUUUCAGGCAUUUAAAUAUCAGUGUUGCAGUUUCUGUACUGUUAUUGCGAAUGAUGACAAUGCACUUGAGUCAAGAACAAAGAAAGUGUAUUCUGAAGCAGUACUGCAGCCCCGUGGAGUUGCAUAGACGAAGGAGGGCCUUGACAGUUUGUACUGAGCAAAGCAGUAGGGAUUGGUAGAGAGGAUUAGGAGGAUGAAGGGCAUAUAGGGGCUGGGGACCUUUACACAGCAGCCAUUUUAUGGGUAAAUUUGUCCAUCUAUCUCUUUUGCCCACCCUCCAUCCCUAGUUGGGAUUUAAUGGUGUUGGGACACUACUUCCAAGUUCUGACGGUUUUCUCUUUCUUUUUCAGAGGCAGCUG